GUGAUGUCAUCCAGCAGGCCAGUCCAGCCAGGUGAUGUCAUCCAGCAGGCCAGUCCAGCCAGGUGAUGUCAUCCAGCAGGCCAGUCCAGCCAGGUGAUGUCAUCCAGCAGGCCAGUCCAGCCAGGUGAUGUCAUCCAGCAGGCCAGUCCAGCCAGGUGAUGUCAUCCAGCAGGCCAGUCCAGCCAGGUGAUGUCAUCCAGCAGGCCAGUCCAGCCAGGUGAUGUCAUCCAGCAGGCCAGUCCAGCCAGGUGAUGUCAUCCAGCAGGCCAGUCCAGCCAGGUGAUGUCAUCCAGCAGGCCAGUCCAGCCAGGUGAUGUCAUCCAGCAGGCCAGUCCAGCCAGGUGAUGUCAUCCAGCAGGCCAGUCCAGCCAGGUGAUGUCAUCCAGCAGGCCAGUCCAGCCAGGUGAUGUCAUCCAGCAGGCCAGUCCAGCCAGGUGAUGUCAUCCAGCAGGCCAGUCCAGCCAGGUGAUGUCAUCCAGCAGGCCAGUCCAGCCAGGUGAUGUCAUCCAGCAGGCCAGUCCAGCCAGGUGAUGUCAUCCAGCAGGCCAGUCCAGCCAGGUGAUGUCAUCCAGCAGGCCAGUCCAGCCAGGUGAUGUCAUCCAGCAGGCCAGUCCAGCCAGGUGAUGUCAUCCAGCAGGCCAGUCCAGCCAGGUGAUGUCAUCCAGCAGGCCAGUCCAGCCAGGUGAUGUCAUCCAGCAGGCCAGUCCAGCCAGGUGAUGUCAUCCAGCAGGCCAGUCCAGCCAGGUGAUGUCAUCCAGCAGGCCAGUCCAGCCAGGUGAUGUCAUCCAGCAGGCCAGUCCAGCCAGGUGAUGUCAUCCAGCAGGCCAGUCCAGCCAGGUGAUGUCAUCCAGCAGGCCAGUCCAGCCAGGUGAUGUCAUCCAGCAGGCCAGUCCAGCCAGGUGAUGUCAUCCAGCAGGCCAGUCCAGCCAGGUGAUGUCAUCCAGCAGGCCAGUCCAGCCAGGUGAUGUCAUCCAGCGGCGCCAGUGUGCCUCUAGAAAGAGGGAACUCUUCCUUCCUUUGUUAUGCUUUGCUGACACUGAUCUCUUUAUGUUAUUAUUUUUGUUUUUGAAACAUUUUUAUUUUAACUUUUUAAUUGAGUUUUGCUUGUCAAUUUUGACCUUUCAUCCUAUCUUGCCCAGUGAGUUGAUAAUGAUAUAUUUGAUGAUUGUCUAGAACUUUGAGAUCAGGGGUCACAUGUAUGUACGUAUAGUUUGAACCAAGGUGGUAAAGUUAAAUGUCUAUGUUAUUCCUUUAUACCCUAACGAUGCAUACAUUUGCAGUCACACUGGGUUGAAAUGAACUAUGAAAAUAGGAAGAUGAUUAUACUCCAUCCUUUUACUUGGUGCAAAACCUUUUGAUUUGUAUUCUUAUGGAGAGAGAGGCAGAAAGAAAGUGGCACCCUAUUUCAACAUAGUGCACGACUUUUGACCAAGGCCCUAUCUCUAUGGGCCCGGAUCAAAAAUAGUGCACUAUGUAAGGAAUAGGGUGCCAUUUGGGACUCUGUCAGAAAGUCAGUGUUGAGUCUUUAGAGAGGAGAGGGACAGGAUGUUGUGUUGAAACACUUUCAUUUGCACACCUGUCACACUCACCAACUGAUGAUAUCACAACUAUUAUUAUUAUUAUUAUUAUUAUUAUUGAUCUCUUCAUUAACACAGUACUGUAUGUUUUUGUUAUUUUGACUUAAGGAAGAAGUAGAACUCUGUGGCAGCAGCACUUUUGAACGAUGAAGGGGGUCAUGUUGAUGUCUUGGUGUCUUGGGGUCACACUACCUUUGAAAGGGAUGAAUGUGACAGGUGAUGGAGUGAGUGCCAGUUAGGGGAGGGAGGGAAAGAGAGAAGAGGAAUAUGGAAGAAGGUAUAAUAUCAGAGAGUGCUUUUUGUUGAGGCACUUUACUCAAAUCAAAACAUGCUUUUCAAAAUAUGCGUGCGGUCAAAAAAUGUACCUUUUGACACAUAACUGCCUUGUCAAGGAUAUCAAAAGUCAAUGAAAUCCAAAAGAAGAAUGGGUAAAGAAUGGGAAUAAUUGUGGGAAUGUCCAGGUAUGUUGUGGACGAGAUUGAGAGACAGUUAUAGACGUUCUGGCCACAGAAUUUGUGAAGGGCGUCAUAUACAUAAUGUAUGUAUGCGAGUGUGCAUGAAUGCAGGUAUGUGUUAGUGCACACACACUCACAAGAGCACACACACUCACACAGACACACACACGGAAUACAGUACCCACACAGACAGGCACUUUCCUAAAGGAGAGGAUUGUAUGUAUUUCAUACUUGUUGAUAUACGUUUAGUAUGUAUACAAAUACUUUUGUGGCAUAGAUAUUUCCCCUUGAUGAUGUAGAAAAGCCAAGAUAUUUGAGUAGCAGACGAAGAUGAUAGUUAGUCUCAGUGCUCUGUGCAGUGUGUGUUUGUUGGCGUGUGUGUGUGUACGUGUGUUUGUAUAUGUGUAUAGAAAUAUCAUAUAACUUAAUAUGAUAUAUCCAAUGUAAAAUGUCCAGUGUUUCUGUUUUUGGAGUUCUACUUAAGAGAAUCUUGCAAUUUGCACAUCUGGAGAGGUAGUCAGUUGGGUGACAUUACUUUUUGACUGUGUUCAAAAUAUACUUUUCUCUAUACAGUGCACUGGCCAAAAGUAGUGCACUAUAUAGGGAAUAGGAUGCCAUUUCAGACAGAACUAUGUUUUCAGCUAGGUUGCACAUACACACCGAACUGAAA